UACGGGGGGGGCAAGCGUUGUUCGAAAUUACUGGGCGUAAAGGGCUCGUAGGCGGCCAACUAAGUCAGACGUGAAAUCCCCAGGCUUAACCUGGGAACUGCAUUCGAGACUGCAUUGCUAGAGUAUGGGAGAGGGAAGUGGAAUUUCCGGUGUAGCGGUGAAAUGCGUAGAUAUCGGAAGGAACAUCAGUGGCGAAAGCGACUUCCUGGACCAAUACUGACGCUCAUGUGCGAAAGCGUGGGGAGCAAACAGG
rnacentral:rRNA from 1 species